UAUUCCCUGCGGUGUUUGUUAAGGCUUGCGUUCUUUGAACCAAUUCUUUGUAUCUGGCUGCUAGCCAAUGGUUGCUGUUGUGCGCACUCUGUUUACAGAGCGCGCCUGAUGCGGCCGGCGGGCGGCCACUCUUGAACCUGUGGUUCAAGAUAGCAGCCUGACGGCACUCGCGGGGAUCCU
rfam:Nitrosomonas eutropha C91, complete genome.